rnacentral:tRNA from 1 species
GCUUCUAUAGCUCAGCCGGUAGAGCGUGCGGCUGUUACAUAUAUCCGAGUCCGUGCCGGAUAUCUCUGCCACCGCAAGGUCGACGGUUCAAGCCCGUCUGGAAGCG